AUUGACCCUUUCCUUUAGCUUCUGUGGCUUCUGUGUCGCAUGUGUGUCAGUAGGUGCCAGAGAAGAGGGAGACUAUGCCUAUACUCAGGGUCUUGGCCUAUAAACAUCUGAAUAAUUAGUAACCUAAAUU